AGGGAAUCUUCGGCAAUGGACGGAAGUCUGACCGAGCAACGCCGCGUGAGUGAAGAAGGUUUUCGGAUCGUAAAGCUCUGUUGUAAGAGAAGAACGAGUGUGAGAGUGGAAAGUUCACACUGUGACGGUAUCUUACCAGAAAGGGACGGCUAACUACGUGCCAGCAGCCGCGGUAAUACGUAGGUCCCGAGCGUUGUCCGGAUUUAUUGGGCGUAAAGCGAGCGCAGGCGGUUAGAUAAGUCUGAAGUUAAAGGCUGUGGCUUAACCAUAGUACGCUUUGGAAACUGUUUAACUUGAGUGCAAGAGGGGAGAGUGGAAUUCCAUGUGUAGCGGUGAAAUGCGUAGAUAUAUGGAGGAACACCGGUGGCGAAAGCGGCUCUCUGGCUUGUAACUGACGCUGAGGCUCGAAAGCGUGGGGAGCAAACAGGAUUAGAUACCCUGGUAGUCCACGCCGUAAACAAUGAGUGCUAGGUGUUAGACCCUUUCCGGGGUUUAGUGCCGUAGCUAACGCAUUAAGCACUCCGCCUGGGGAGUACGACCGCAAGGUUG
rnacentral:rRNA from 1 species